AUCCGCGGUGGGCCCAGCACCCGCGAGCAGCGGUCACCUCAGCGCAGCCCUGUAAGUAGGUCCCGCUUGCCGUGCAAGGGCCGACGGGCGCAUCCCUCGUAGGCCGCGAGCGGCGCGCAGGCCUUUCCCUUGCGGUACAGUCGAUCACAAGCACCAGUAUCUCCACAUGUGGCCGAAGAAAAGCUAGGGAAAGCUGUACCCAGAGUUAACAUGAAGUACAGACAACUCAGUUUAACACUGUGUUUCUGGAAUUAGUGGAGUACAAGCUGUUAAACUGAAUGCUGUGCUGACGGGAGGUGUGCUGUGUGCCUGUGUUUUCCGUGUGGGUUUUUGUCAUGGUUGUUUACCCAGUUGGUUAAAUAAUAUAAAUACAUGAUCAACUGUUCCAAACCUUUACUCAAUAAAACAUUCCCAUUACUUUCAGCGGGACAUUGCGUAACUGCUACACAAGGCCUAAACUGGGCAGUGAAGCCAUGGUCGCUAAAGAAAACAGCCCUGGAGCACAGUACCACAAAGACCUGCUGCAUUCUUCAUUCACCUCAGAGUUUACACAAGAAAAUCUCUGAAUCAAAAGUGAUCAAGAUACAGAAGAAUAAAAAAUGGCUGAAUUUCUGGAAGCUAGAGCACAAGCAGAUAGCUGGUCUGUGACAAAACCUGAGAGGUGCGAGAAGAUACACGAGAUGAAAAUCAGCUGCUGCAGCAGCAUUCCCAGAUGGACUGAUAUGAUUUACAGAGCAGUCAGGACCAUAGGAACCAGUGACUGACACCCUGCCAC
rnacentral:lncRNA from 1 species